rnacentral:lncRNA from 1 species
GCAUGAGGCAGGGUUCCCACAGUUCAGUCUGCCAGAAGGUGUCCUAUGCACCAACUUUCCUACACAGUUGGUAGAUGUUUCCCAUGCUGGAGCCAGGAUACAGCUGACAUUGUGAUGGAGUGUGGAAGAAAAAGAAGUGCAGAAGAAAUCCAAGUAACUUUUGAGAAGCUACUAAAAAUGCUGCUGUGAGGAGCUGUGUGGUGUGGUCAUCCUUGUGAUCUCCCACCACUGUACAGAGUGCAGAACGUAUGCAGAGUAGCCAAUGCAAACCUGUGCUGUGAGUUAAAGAUAGUUUCCUUCAAAGCAUUCGAAACAGCAGACACAGCUGGUGAUUGUUUUCUUUUCCGAACAAACAUCACAACCAGAUCUGGCUCUUCCUAUCCUUUAAAAUUCCAUUUUCUUCAAAAAUUUAUCCAAAGUAAUAUAUUUGAGAAAAGAUCUUAAAAGCACUGUGACUAAAAGGGCUCUAGGGAAACAAGAUGAACUGAUUAGACAUUUUUCUGUAGUUUGAUAAUCCAGCAACUCUUAUUCUCAUUUUUUGGUACAUUUAAAGUAUUCGUUACUCUAUAAAUGUCUUGUCA